GUGCUCAAUUCAGCAGCAGCACAUAAACUGAGACUGUGACAAUGCAUGGAAGACUGGCACAGCCCUUGUGCAAUGAUGACAUCAAAAUCUGUGAAGCAUUUUCAUUUUUA
ensembl:snRNA U6 U6 spliceosomal RNA